ensembl:lncRNA
GUUGGCGCCCCCAGAACAGGCUCCUCCCGUCUCCACACUGUACUGGCACAGUGAGCCCGUCUCAUUUCCAAGACCCCUCCUCUCCCUUUGUGACUUAGAUGGCGCUCCCUGCUCAGAGUUCUGUACCUCAAUUCUAUGGAGUUUCUCAGUUCUGACAGUCUUCCUACAUUCCCGAGACAUAGGGAUGGUAGCCAUGUGCUGCGGCUCUUCCUUCCACGAACCUCUAGGUCACCUCUGGCAUCAUUACUAGCUGUCUGACAGUGGAAGAAGGAGGAAGAUUAUAUGGGAGGUUUCGAUUGGCUGAGACUGGAAGAAACUUCUCUUCUUCUAUGGGCCGAAACUCAGACACAUGGCCACAACUAACUGCAAGGAAGCCUGAAAAACAUGCCUUAGUUACAUGUCUAGGAGGAUGGGGAAACAGAUUUGGUAAACAGCUAGCCAAUUUUUACUGUAGUGCUCGAAAUGUUCACGUAGGCUGAGUUAAAGUAAAAGAGAGUCAGAUACCUUUCAUGUCUGAAUUUUAUGGCCUGAGGUUUUAUAUCAUCAACACAGAUGACAAGAAUAAUCAUGACCUGGUUCCUGCCU